UUGGCGGCGGUGCUCUGCAGGCAGUGCCUCCCUCGGGCGUGGGUCUGCAGGCCCCUCCCCGUCGGGCCUCACGAGGUAGUCAGAGUUGAUGUCCAUUUCUGUGGAGUUAACUUUGGUGAUAUUUUGAUCUGCCGUGGUCAAUAUCAGGAAAGGCCCCAUCUUCCCUUCACACCUGGUGGAAUGGAGUUUUCUGGGACAGUAUUGGAGACAGGCACAGACGUCAGCACAGUUAAAGAGGGAGAUAGAGUUAUUGGCAUAAGAAACUUUAGUUGUAUGGCUGAAGAAUGCGUCACUGACCUGAAGCACUCAAUCUGUAAGUCACUGUUACCUCUUUUUUAGGACCCGUGGCAGAUUCCAGAAAAGGUCUUCCUAUAAGAAGCUGCUGUCCUCCUUAUAACUUACGGCACUGCGAUUUUUGCUCUUGAGCAUCAGGCCCGUACCCAGCCUGAGGACAUGGCAACGAAUGUUCUUCAGGCCAAGGUAUUGUUCUUGAUGCAGGUAAUAUAGCUGCUGCUGGAAGUGACGAGAAGUGCAAGCCGGUGAUGCAGAGGGGUGCGCAGUCCAGCAUGAACUACAGUCAGGGCAGCCUGAAGGAUGCAGUGAGGAAGCCGGUGGGCGAGGGCGGGGUGAAUGUGGCCAUCGACAUGGUGGGAGGAGACAUCUGCCUAGAGGCUCUCGCAGGUGCAUGGGGUCGCUCCUCAGCCUGGCAUGGGAGGGCAGGAUUGUGGUGGUGGGAUUUGCUGGAGGAAACAUUGCUUCUGUACCAGCCAACCUUCUGCUCCUGAAGAAUAUCUCUGCUAUGGGCCUGUACUGUGGUCAACACAAAGAAAUGAACUUUCCUGUCUUCUCCAAGAGCCUAUCUUCAGUGCUUCAGUACUGCCAGCAAGGGUGCAUCCAGCCAUAUGUUGGAAUGGUUUUCAAGCUGGAUGAGGUGAUGCCUUCCUUCAUGUGAUACAGGGGAAAUCCAUGGGCAAGGUGCUUCUCACUCUUAAA
rnacentral:sRNA from 1 species